GCUGCCGGUGCUACCGAGAAGGCCUGCCGGAACAGACCUCCCCGGGUGAGGCGCACAUCUUCCUUGGACACCGUCCUCGGGUCGUACCUCCUCGGUCAGUGGCCUCGGGAUGCGGAAGGAGCGGCUUUAUCACCUAUGAGCGACAAAUCGACACAGACUCCUGUAUCCUGGCACGAAGUGGAGGUGGGGAAGGCCACCCUUCAUAAGCGUUCUGCCUCCUGGGGCAGCAUGGGCCAUCGCAGAGAGAUCGCCAAACUGAAGCAGCAGCUGCAGCGAACAAAGCUGAGCACCAGGAAUGGCAAAGAGAAGGAACAGAGCUCCCCUGUCCAGGGGGAUCAUACGGUGCUCCCAACGGU